rnacentral:lncRNA from 1 species
UUCAAGUUUCCCACUAAGCAAAGCUAGAGAGAGAGAGAGAGAGAGAGAGAGAGUGGAAGUAGUUCUGUUUCGCUACAAGACUUUCGAAACGCUUCCUUCCUAGCUAUAUAUAACCUUCAAGUUUCCACCAUCCAUGCUAUAUUUAACUAGACAAGAGUGGUCUCUCUCUCUCUCUCUCUCUCUCUCUCUCUCUCUCAAGGGUGGUGCUGGCGUCUGCUUAGCUUUUGAUGUGUCUUGUAAGUAACCUGCUUAUCCAUUCCUCCGGUUAAUUAGUUUUUGAUCUGUCUCUCAAAACUCCCACACUUAUUCUUUGAUGGUCCGUUGACAAAUUUCAUAUCGAUUCUUGUUAUCUGGGAGCAAAUUUUGACCUACGUGAAAGUUUGCAUGCAUAUUCUUCAAGAUUUUUGUUUUCCUUGUGUCUGGAUAUUUACUUUAUUAAUUAUUUGUACGGACAUGAUUCAUGCUCUUUUGCUUUUUCACUUCCAUUAUCUGUAUUUGUUUUUAUUGAUCCUCCUCCUUCCCUGUGUAAAUCUUGUGCGAUUUAUGGGUUAAAAAAAAUGAUGGAACGUAGUUCCCCAUGUAUGUAUCAUCAAAGUAGGAAGCCGAAUAGAAGAGGAGGAGCGACUAAAAUGGAUUUUUUGAUUUUUUUUUUUGGGGGGGGGGGAAGGUCCUCUCCUGAUGAUGAUCUACCCAACUUUCUGUUAUCCUUCUUAUUCUCUGUAAAAAAACCCUAAACCCCUCCUCUCUGCGCGGCGCUACCUUUUUUUUGGUGGGGAGGAGGAGGGAAGGAGGUCCUCUCCUCCUCCCCUUUCCUCUGGUUUUCUCUUCUGUAUCCUGAUACCUGCUGCUUGUGAAUCUCCUUGUGGACACUGUCGGCCCCUGUUCUCCCCUUCUUUGUGGGUGUUUCUGCUCUCCCCUUUGUGGGUGGUCUGCUCUCCCCUUUAGUGGGUGUUUUGUUCUCCUUGGUCUGAGGCUUCAUGCCUGCUACCUGGUUAGAUCCCUCCCAUCUCCACUAUUCCAUUCUUCUCAGAGCUGUCCUAUGGCCAUCGUCGAUUCGAUUGCCCGUCUCCUCUUGGUGCGUUGGUGUCUACGAUUCCGGUGGUGAAGAUGUUAGUUCUCGGUUGUUGAUGGUCAACACCCAGAUCCCCCCACUUCCCUUUCGAUCCGGUUUCACCACCUGGAUACAACGGCCAACCCAAAACGCGAUCUCUCGGUACCCCUUGGAAGGUGUGUAGAGCCGCAGCAAAGCUCCGGCUCGGGUUCCUGCACCACCUCCUUCCUGCUCCUUGGUUCCAAAUCUUGUGCCUUUGGACAGCUUUGAGAGUUGCUGGCUUUUGUGGUAGAUCUGUGGUGUGGUUCUGUUUUUUCUGUAAUUUUUUUGGUUUUCAAUUUGGUGUUGUACGAUGUUUUACUGCUUUUAGUUGUGGAAUUUUCUUUUGUUUAUCUGUUGAUAUCUCUGGGACAAUCUCGUUGUUCUUGUUCAUGUGAUAUCUUCACAGAUUAGUUUGUUCCUAGGAGCUUCCUUACUUGGUUGCUAAUUUGGCUUUUGUAUCUCUUUACCUUCCCUGUGUUUUACUUGGGAGGUUCUGUUUCUAAUGAAGAUUUGAUCUUCCUGACCCCCAAAAAAAAAAAAGAAAAGAAAAAGAAAAGCAUAUUUUGACUCCAUUUUAUUAAUUACUCUUUAUUUAAUUCAACUAAUUCGAGAAUAAUUAAGCUCUUCUGUAUGUGUAGCAUGCAAGUUGGGCACACCAAUACAAAUCAUGUGGGAUCCACUCAUUGGACCACAUCUUUUGUUAAUUAGGGUCGGUUAUCUAUAUCUAUAUAUAUAAAGUAAAAGGUAAAGAAUGAUAAAAUAUUCAAAAUACCAGAAAAUGUCAUUGGUUAAUGUAAAUAUUAAAAAUUGGAAUUAUUUAUCAAAUAAGGAUAAUAUGGUAAAUUUACACUUUUUCAUAUUAAAAAAAAUUAAAAUGAAAAGAAAAAUCAAAUAAUGGAUCAUAUUUUUAUGAAACACAACUACCAAUUAUCUUUUUAAAUUCUAAAAUAAAUUUAAAUUUUUUUAAAAAAAGCCUCUCGCAUGCGCGAAGCGCAUGUAGAGAGGCUAGUAUAUAUAAAACAAAAGGCAGAGAAUGGUGAAACAUUCAAAAUACCAGAAAAUACCAUUGCUUAAUUCGAACACAUUAAAAAUUUAAACUAUUAAUUAAAUGAGGAUAAUAUGGUAAAUUUACAUUUUUCCAUAUUAAAAAAUUAAAAUAAAAAAUAAAAAAAGAUAAUAGGUCAUAUUUUUAUGGAAUAUAACUAUUCAUGUUAUAUUUUUUUAAAUUCUAAAAAUAAAAUAAAAAAUAAAAAAGAAAACCAAUUGGCACAUGCGUGAGCAUGUGCCAAGGGGCUAGUGUAAUAAUUAUCAAAGAAAUUACUAGUUAAAAUAUAAUCAAUUAGAUGAGAACCUGCUAAUACAAAAUAACAACCUACUAAUUUAAGUUUUUAUUAUUUAUUUAUUUUGUGCAGGUGCAUGCGUGCAUAUGGCUACACAGAUUAAUUUGGCAAGCACAUCUAGCACACAAGCACAACAUGUACCAGCAGCUGAAAUCCAAUUAAUGGCUGGCGCUCCAACAACAGGACUAGGCAUUGUGUGAUCCAUAUAACCAAUUUGCCUCAACCUAAGACCCCUUCACUCCAUCUACUAGAGGAAAACAACGGUACGUAACAUCCAUCUCUCUCUCUCUCUCUCUCUCUCUCUCAUCAUUGGUAGUCCCUUCUUUUAUGAUAAAUAAGAUUUUUGUGUAUUGCAUGACAUUAUUGUUACAAAUUUGGCCAUACAUUUUCUAAAAUUACAAUAAUGCAACUAUGUCAUGUAUUUGUGGUUAAUAAAGUUAAAAGCCUUGGUCUAUGCACCUGACCCGAGCAAGGGCGGAAUCAUGAAUUUUUCGACCGGUAGGCUAGCUAAAUUUUUUAACUAAAAUAAAACUAUGCAUUAAAUCAUAUAAACCAUGCUAAUAGUAUACAUUAAAUCAAAUAAAAGUAUAAACCACGCAAAGUAUGCGUGAAAUAAUAUGUUCAACAACAUAAUUAAAAGUGUACUUAUUGAAGUUGUGCCCUGAGAUCCUUGAGAGAAUUGAAAUCUUUUGUUAUUACAUCUGAAUUGAUAUUGUCAGCAAGUUCUUUUUCAAUGUAGACAACCAUAGAAUCUGCUACAAACUCAUUCUUCAUCUUGUUGCGAAGAGCUGUUUUAACAAGUUUCAUAGCUGAAAAAGCUUGUUUAGUAGUUGCCAUAGAAACAGGGAGAGUUAGCACAAGACGGAUCAACC